UCUUGCUCUGUCCUCCAUUCCUACCCUGCUUGCACACUCACACACUAGAUAACUGACGGUCUCUCCCUCCCUCCCUCUCGUUCCCUCCUUCUCCUUUUUGCCUAUUUCUUUUUUCUCUGCCACACCACCAAUACUUUUUUUCCUGGUUUGCAGUGUUUUUAUGCUUUAGCUACAGUAUAUAGAAACCGGUUAUGUGCUGCUACCAGAAAGAAACAGAUGGAAAUCUGUCUUUGCGAAAGGGGAGAUGAGGAAGCAGAAAAGUAGAGAGCUGGAAGUGAACGGGUAACAGGACUGAAGACAAGACUGGGUCUAGGCUGCAAGACGAGAGGAAAAGCAGUAAAGAGAGGAAGAAAUGAAGGACAGAGGGGUGAUCGAGGAGGAAUCAGAAAAAAAUUGCUGGAAAAGAGGAAAAUGGCCAUACCCAUCUGACAUCUGCUGAUUGAUGGAGAGAAGACAGUGGCUUUGGUGGCUCUGCUGUGCUGCCGGGGGGAGAGUCUGACAUUUUGGAGACAUUGCGUUCAGUUCCUAGGAUGGAUCUGGAAGAUUCUCUCUUCAACUUUUAACAUCCUCCUUUAUUCCGCACCAACAUUAAGCACUGUCUCCCCCGGAACCGGUCUGUUGCCGCAGAACCGAAAAUGUCACAUGACGUCAUAGAUUUUCCUCUUAAAAGACGUUUUCCCAACUGAGCUCGUUUGGCAAAGUGAAACACCUGCAAAGUUACUGUUCCAAGCAUGCCCCUCUGUCCCUGAGACCCUUAACCUGUGAGGUCAUAGCAGGUCACAGGUGAGGUCC
rnacentral:lncRNA from 1 species